rnacentral:rRNA from 1 species
CGUCAAAUCAGCAUGGCGCUUACAUCUAGGGCUACACACAUGGGGUAAUGGCGAAUACAACGGGUCGCGAAGGAGUAAUCCGGAGCUAAUCCUCCAAAAUUCGCCUCAGUUCGGAUUGUGGGCUGCAACUCGCCCACAUGAAGGGGAGUCGGUAGUAAUCGCAGGUCAGCUAUACUGCGGUGAAUACGUUCUCGUUUCUU